rnacentral:snRNA from 1 species
UUGUUCGCUUCAGCAGCACAUAUACUAAAACUGGAAUGAUAUAGAGAAGAUUAGCAUGGUCCCUGAGCAAGGAUGAUAAGCAAAUUUGUGAAGUGUUCCAUAUUUUU